rnacentral:misc_RNA from 1 species
GAAGUCAAUAGUUAUUUGAAGGUAUUUAAUUAGAUCGAAUUUUUAGAGAAUGUGUGAUGUUUUACCAUAAAUGUUAGCAGAACAGAACCUAGACUAGCUCAUACCUGGCUCAUUCAUCAAACAAGUCCUAGCAAAUAAGCUUAAUUGAGUUGUUGACCUGAGCUUGAGUUGAGUAGAAGUCAUCCUUAAGUUAACAAACCUUAAAACUUCUCGGAACUUUUUAUUCAUGUGCUUUUCAACCAAGUCGUAAUCAAGGUAUAAAUGUACCUAUUUGCAAAUUUAUAGCCAAACUUAAACAAGCUGCCCAUGAACUUAGACAAUUUGAGCCCAUUGUUGUUCAAACUUGGCUCAUUUGUUGAACAAGCUUUAAAUUUAGGCUUCAGAAUUACUUGUUAAUGUAAAUAAAUGAGCUUGAGUGAGCCCUUACCAAGUCAAGCCUUCAUCUAAGUCAGGAAACACUUGAUUCCUUUCCAGCAUUAACUAUAUAUGAGAUUGAAACAUUGAAGAAAACUGAAGGCCUCUAAUUUAGCUACCAAUAGCAUUAAAUGGGAAUGAAGAUAUUCAGAGAAAGAUUAUAAUCGAACUGGCAAUAAUAUUUCUAUGUAUGUAACAUGGCUGGUUAUGUUCUCUAGUCUGAUUGCCAACUUUGGUUGGUGAACUCUGGAAAUUCGUGUUCAUCAAACCUUAUAAUUUUGUCGUCAAUCUGCUAUUUGUAAUAUAAAUUGCUUGGACACCGUUUUUUUUAUAUGGAAGGGUAUCCCAUUUCUGCUCAAUAUUAGAACUUUCAGUGAUCUAAAGUGUUACCUGAAAGAGGAACCUAAACCCAUUUCUCUUAAGGAUUGAAGGCAUUUUGAGAUUUGUACUUUUUCUUAAAAUUUUAAAACUUGCAUGAACCCGUUCCUCUUAAUUUUUUUCAGUUCAUUUAUUGUGCAUUUGAUUUGACAUCAAAAGGUAGUGUGUGUGCAUCUUUUGGCGUGAGAAAUGAUAUGUUGGAGUAGAUUUGUUAUGCGAGUUCACUAGUACACAUGUACACACACUCCAUGUUUAUGGCAUAUGCAGACUUGGCCACUAAUGAAUUUGACUUUUCAGGUAGUAUUUGUUCCAAAUUACA